AUUGAACGCUGGCGGCGUGCCUAACACAUGCAAGUCGAGCGGUAACAGGUGUAGCAAUACAUGCUGACGAGCGGCGAACGGGUGAGUAAUGCUUCGGAAUCUACCCAAUGGUGGGGAAUAACCAGCCGAAAGGUUGGCUAAUACCGCAUACGUCCCACGGGAGAAAGCAGGGGAUCGCAAGACCUUGCGCCAAUGGAUGAGCCGAAGUCGGAUUAGCUAGUUGGAGGGUAACGGCCUACCAAGGCGACGAUCCGUAGCUGGUCUGAGAGGACGACCAGCCACACUGGGACUGAGACACGGCCCAGACUCCUACGGGAGGCAGCAGUGGGGAAUAUUGGACAAUGGGGGAAACCCUGAUCCAGCGACGCCGCGUGCGUGAAGAAGGCCUGCGGGGUUGUAAAGCACUUUUUAGUGGGGAGU
rnacentral:rRNA from 1 species